rfam:TPA: Bos taurus chromosome 21, whole genome shotgun sequence.
UCUCUGGUGGUUCGGUGGUUAGGACUUGGUGUUUUCACUGCCAGGGCCCAGGUUCGAUCCCUGGUUGGGGAA